UGGGAGGUGUGAUAUCUCUCCUAAAUAUGAUUAUGAUCAUUUUUGUGAAAGUAACAUCGCUGUUAUUCAGACUGGUGAUCUUCUAUGUUAGGCAGUGCACAGGCAUAUACAUGUGGAAAAAAAUGCAUUUAAUGCUAUUUCUGUUGUAGUACCUUUUGCUCUGAAAACGUUAGAUCCUGAUGGAUGAGCUGCUAUGAUACUGAAGUUUAUAGCCUCCAAAGAGUAAUACAAAGGAGUCAGUGUUUCCCUGCUCUUUGCUAACAAAUUAUGUGAAUUUUAUACUAUCUUGUCCAGUGGCCUACAAUGCAACGCAUCUGAGUAGUUACCAAGAGAGGAAAGGGAGAGAAUAAAGAAAUGCCUUUCUUUCCUUUGAGCCUUGCCAUUCUCUGGCAGCACAGCUCUGCAUGCAGGAAACAAUUUGUGUCUACGCAAAUCAAACUGGGAGGUUAACCUUUCAUUAACAGAACUGGGGCACUGGUACCUGCCAAGUUCUCCCUCAGGCCACAGAGUGGAAGUUUGUCUCCAGGAGAUACCUCACAAGCUGGAAUUAAUGCCACAGUUGCUCAUUGUGAGUGAGAAGGGAGGAAUGUCCCUUGAAUAUUUUGUUUUCCUUGUCUUCAGAUUACACUGAUGUCAUUUUGAGGAAAGCUGGAAAUCCUGUUGGUUCUUAUGCAAAUAAUAGCUCAUUGCAUUCUUUUUGUGAGCAACAUCAC
rnacentral:lncRNA from 1 species